CCAGCUCCAAUAGCGUAUAUUAAAGUUGUUGCAGUUAAAAAGCUCGUAGUUGGAUUUCUGGUGGGGGUCGCUGGUCGGGCCCGCAAGGGUCUGCACCGCUGUGUACUUCCGCCAUCCUUGGGGAGAGCUAUUCUGGCAUUAAGUUGUCGGGGUGGGGAUCCUCAUCUUUUACUGUGAAAAAAUUAGAGUGUUCAAAGCAGGCUCAGGCCGUUGAAUACAUUAGCAUGGAAUAAUAAGAUAGGGCCUUGGUGGUCUAUUUUGUUGGUUUGCACGCCAGGGUAAUGAUUAAUAGGGAUAGUUGGGGGUAUUCGUAUUCAAUUGUCAGAGGUGAAAUUCUUGGAUUUAUGGAAGACGAACUACUGCGAAAGCAUUUACCAAGGAUGUUUUCA
rnacentral:rRNA from 1 species